rnacentral:lncRNA from 1 species
UUGUGUGAAAUUUUCUGAGAUUUUGAAAAUAAUAAUGUUCAUAUCACUCGCUCAUCACCGAGCGCCCGAUUCAACGUGCUGGUGAAGAGCAAAUUCAUGUAGGCCCUACCAGGCCAAUUUACGAUACGCUAUGAACUUGAAAACUGAAGUAUGGGGCCUAUACAAGUCUUACAUGUAUCCUUCGGUUCGCGACAAACAUGGAACUUGUUGGUAUUGUGUUUUAAAACACAUUAAGAUAGGCCUUUGUAUAAAAAUAUGUGUUCACAGUGCCAAAAGUUGCACUUUUGGGUUUGACGACCCCCCCCCGUCUCUGGUCAAGCAACGGGCAUGUCGCCUGUUAGCAACCGAGCCAUCGUCGCUCCAACAUCAUUAUCAGGUAGAUGACCAGACGUGUGUCUUUUGUAAGGGCAUUCUAUGUCUCGUUGGACAGUAAUGUUGGACCCUCAAACCAACAGAGCAUCGAAGAAAUGUCUUCAUCGAUGGACUGCACGUGGUACACUGUCGCGGCAUUAUCGGCGACCCCUCUUUUUUAAUUAAUUCAGACUUAUGUGGGUGAUAGCAAACAUGAUGUGGAAUAUUCACACUCAGCGUCCAGUCCAAUGUAAGUCUUCCGGUGGGAAUUACUCAGCAUAGCCUUUACUCUUUAUCAUUCACACUGACCAUUUGUUGUGACCAUUGAUUUACCUGCAUCCCUACAGUUUCCUUUAAGGCUCUAAUUUCGCUUUAGACUUCAACAGACCUUUUCUUCAGGUAGUUUUAUAUUUUAUUUUUUGAUAGACCGAUCAUCACUAGUGACUCAUCACUGUGAAAGAUAGACUCGCUCACCAAUGCCAGGAAUCUUUCGUCUUCACGUCAUCUUGAGUACACUCUUUCUGGUCAUCAGUAAGCAUCCCAGGGAGGUCUAUGUUGAUGAAAGUACAAAAAUAACAGAGGCAAAAUAUUACCCAAAUGCUUGGGCUGAUCACACUUUGCUUUACUGUGACAUCAGUCUUGUUCCCAAAGAAGACACCUUGUUUGGCAUCUUCCUAAAAUCCAAAACCACCCUGUGACAAUGUUCGGAUUCUGUGAACAGGUGGGAUACAGGAUGCACCUUUAAUUUUCCAGAAAAGUGUAGUGAUCAACGAGUCAAACACCAGAGGUUCAUCAAGGCCAGUUGACCCAUUGAUAAAAGUUGGCUAGUUACUUGGAAUGUGGGGGCGGGGAGGCCAGUGCACCCAUACCUUUCCUUUUUUCAUGGAAUAAUAUUUCUUUGAAAUGAAGGAGUGGCAGUUUUAUAGGAAAUUGGUAUUAGUCAUGGUUUACAUCAUUUGGUUUUAUUCUGAUUGGUCGAUGGAAAUAGUCAUUAACUUAGAGCAGGAUGAUGUAGCUUUACCGCAUAAUUUACUUAUGACUUAUAUUCAGUAUCUAUUAUUAAUCUAUUAGGAAGCAGAAGAUUUCAAAGACUGCUGUCCCUUUCAAGAGCGAGUCUGCAGUCCAACCACACCGAAUCCAUCAAAAAUCUAUAGCGGAAUCCGCAUUGAGUUCCUUGGCUCUGGGUGUUUUCAUCGGCAUGAAGGACAUUCUUCAGCUGAUUGUAUUGUGGGGAAGGAGCAGGGACUUGUGGAGAACCAAAUGGACGUAGACUGUGAGGUGUAGGGCUAGGACGAUCGGGCACUUUAGAGGCUCGUCAAACAGAUGAAGAGAGCUGUCGAGGUUACUGUUGUGGUUGGAGUUCAGGGAGAGAUAGGAUUCUGUUUUCAAAGUCUCUCAGAUCAUCGACAAACUUCUCAGGUAGUGACUGAAAAUUCGGCAACUUAUCUGAUGGCAACGUUCGAUGGGGUUCCAUAGUCGUAUGCUCUCGACGCCGAGGUCUCUGAGGAGUCAGUGCAGGGAGAUCAAGAGUUUUCUCCUUACCUGAGUGCGGCCAGUAUAGGCAGAUCAAAUCAUCCUCACCAAAAAAGCAUUUAUCUCCGCUGUUAUGACAUCACAGACAAAGGCAUUGAGUUCCUAUUCAACGGCUG